UGGGGAAUUUUGGACAAUGGGGGAAACCCUGAUCCAGCCAUCCCGCGUGUGCGAUGAAGGCCUUCGGGUUGUAAAGCACUUUUGGCAGGAAAGAAACGUCAUGGGUUAAUACCCCGUGAAACUGACGGUACCUGCAGAAUAAGCACCGGCUAACUACGUGCCAGCAGCCGCGGUAAUACGUAGGGUUCAAGCGUUAAUCGGAAUUACUGGGCGUAAAGCGUGCGCAGGCGGUUCGGAAAGAAAGAUGUGAAAUCCCAGAGCUCAACUUUGGAACUGCAUUUUUAACUACCGGGCUAGAGUGUGUCAGAGGGAGGUGGAAUUCCGCGUGUAGCAGUGAAAUGCGUAGAUAUGCGGAGGAACACCGAUGGCGAAGGCAGCCUCCUGGGAUAACACUGACGCUCAUGCACGAAAGCGUGGGGAGCAAACAGG
rnacentral:rRNA from 1 species